UUAUUUUUUUUACCUCUCGCUUUUCUUUCUCAGGCCCAUAAUGAGGAUCUUACAGCCAGAGAGACCUGCAAGGCUGGGUUCUCUGAAGAUGAUUACACAGCUUUAAUCUCCCCCAAUAUUCUGCAGGGAGAGAAGCUCCUCAAAGGGCCAGCUAUCAAAGGUCAGAGCAGACAGCAGCACAGAGCGCUGACCCACCAGGGAGCUUCCCCUUGGAUAACUGCCUAG
rnacentral:lncRNA from 1 species